GGGAUAUAGCUCAAUGGCACAGUGUCUACUUGGCAAGCACAAGGCUCUGAGUUCAAUUCUUAGUACCCA
rnacentral:tRNA from 1 species